ACAUCAUAAGAUAAUGUAGGAAAAAAACUUUUUUACUCGCAACACCCAUACAUCUGAGUACAGACACCUCACACAACCAUCAUCUCCAUUCUCUUCUCAGAACUACUAGAUCUUUUUAAUUCACCAGUUUCCCAGAAAAUCGUCCAUACUUCUCCUUCCUUCUCUCUUUUCUUUUUCUUUCUCUCAAGAUUCUCUCCAUAAGCUACGUAAUCUUGCCGGAGCUUUUCGAUUUAGAUUCAAGCCUCUAAGCGGAUGAUUUAAUGGUGUACACUAAAAUGGGCAAAAUAUGUCUGCAGAACAGGAUGAUCAUGAUGAUUCGAGCUCAAGCAGUGUUUGGCACAAUACAAGUGGGUACAACAGAUGGGAUAUGGAGCUGUGUUCAAUUACUAGAAAGUUGCACAUAGAAUUUUGAAAUCUGGGUAUUGCUUUAUUUUGGUGGAGAAAUGGGAAGUUCGAAUGAAAAAAGAGUUACUGCUGUGAUCAAUGAUCAUGAUGGAUGGACCUACAGAAGGUCUUAAAAUGGUUAAAAGUUUUCAGGGCAGGUUGGCUUUGGUAAUUCUUUGUGACCCACAGGAGAAGAAAAAUAAUUAAGAAGCCUUUCCUGGUUUGAUAAAGACAGUGUAUGUGUUGCUACUUGAGCAUCAGAAUGAAAUGGUCCAACUGCCAACCACUUCCAACGGAUAGAUUUGCAUUUGGAUAUGUUUAUUGAAAUAUGUUUACUGUUAGCUUUAAUUUUAGAUAUUUGAGUUUUUAUUAUUUCGGUCGAUUUUUAUUAGAAAGUAAUUGUUUUUAGAUAUAUAGGAGUUUUUACUGUAAUGGCAUAAACAACUAUUAAUUAUUAUGUUUCUAAAUUGAGGUUUUAUUUUCGCUUA